AUUGGCCAGACAGCAUGAGGAUCUUGAGGACCCCUAUUCCUGUUGCACACUCAUGCAGCUCUGUCUUCAAUCAACCUGAACAGCUUAGAACUCAUGAUUUCUAACUCCAGCACACACUGCUGUUGAUAUAUGUGCUCACCCAGGUGGACAGCAUGGAGAUCUCAGGAAUCCACUCCUGCCAUGCCCGUUUGCUCUUCCACACUCAGCUUUGUCAAACAGAUUAGUAGCUUCCAACCUGAUUGCACAUUUCUUCAACACUAUGUGGCUUCUUCUGGUUGAUCAGAGAAGUGCAAUGUCCCUACACCACUGCUCACUGAGGAAAUGAGAAGUUGCAGAGCAGCCCAUACCUAACAUACUCAUGAAGUUCUCUCAAUAUACAUUCCACCUUAGAGGUCCUGGAUCCUCUGGCCAGCUGCACACUUCUUCAGUGCCAAAGGAAGCCCAGCCUGUGAGAAGAACCCAGUUGGUCUGUGGCCAUCAGUGGCUACAGAUGGAGCCCAAUGUGGGUCUCGCUGAGAAAUGAUGUCUUAGAUCGAGCUCCGUGGAAAACUGAAGAAGAAGAAGAGUAUCCUACACUUGAAUUGACUUGGUUGUACUGGGUGAAGAAGGUACCUCCCUAGAUCUUGUAGCUCCAGGCUCUCUGUCCAUCAGACUAUCCACUGGACCCCAUAUCAUCACAGGAAUUACUACUGAAUUAAGAGCAGUGCUCCUGUGCCAAGGGAUCCAGCAUGAUGACGUGUUUUACUUUUUAUCCUACUAAUAGUUUCAUAUCUCUUGGCACAAAUAGAAACAAAAAUCAAGCAAGUUUCCCCACACCUACCAGUCAGUCUGCUACACAAGUGGAGUCAUGGGCUCACUCCAAGAAUGUGAAUUCAACUGGGAUUUAUAUUUUUGUGAAAAAUCUUGAAGAUUCAAUAGAAGUGGCCAGGUUUCCUUUUCCUCAUUGCUUUCCAUACAUUCUAGAAAGACCAAGGUGGAAACCCACUUCAGUACUGAAACAUCUAAAAAUAUUAUAAUCACAUGAAGAAAGAGGGACUAUUUGGCACUUGGGUCAAAGACUGACCUUGACACACUGUCCUAGAUGCUUAGUUCCCCCAACUGAACAGCUUCUUCCAGGUUCUUACACAUCUACUGAUCAGCAUCUCAAUGUCUCUUGUAUGGAAAAGAAAAGCUCACAUAACACAAGGUUUUGGCUCUCUGCAUAGAAAUGCAGAAAGUUAUUGCUAUCACCUGGCAUCAAGACCAACUUAAAAAUCUUCAAUAAGUAUUGAAUUCUAUAAUGACAAUUUUACUUUUUUGUUUUGUUUUUUGUUUUCUUUUAAAACAGUGUUUCUCUGCGUAGACCUGGCUGCCCUGGAACUCACUCUGUAGACCACAUUGGCUUCAAACUCAGAGAUCUUCCUCUCUCUGACUCCCAAUUGGUGGGAUUUAAGUACAAUGCCACCAAAUCCCAGUAUGAUAGUUUUAUUUUAAAUAGUUUGAUUUUAAUCAUAAGUCUUAUUCCAAAAAGAACUAUGAGGUUAAGACUGCAUUUGUGGGUAUGUGACAGAGAUUUUUGACUGAAGGUAGGUACUUGAAGUACUACAAGUGAUUUCCACCAGGGUCAAGUCAACCUUUUAAAACUGUAGUUGUGGGACUGUGUAAGGAUAUCCUGGGUCAUGGUAGAGCAGGUGUCUAGAACCCCGAGACUCUGUAGAUUCUGGGCGAGAUUCUACAUGAGAACCAG